rnacentral:rRNA from 1 species
AUUGAACGCUGGCGGCAUGCCUUACACAUGCAAGUCGAACGGCAGCGGACCUUCGGGUGCCGGCGAGUGGCGGACGGGUGAGGAAUACAUCGGGAUCUACCCUGUUGUGGGGGAUAACGUAGGGAAACUUACGCUAAUACCGCAUAAGAACUGAGGUUGAAAGCGGCGGACCGCAAGGCGUCGCGCGAUUGGAUGAACCGAUGUCCGAUUAGCUAGUUGGCGGGGUAAAGGCCCACCAAGGCGACGAUCGGUAGCUGGUCUGAGAGGACGACCAGCCACACUGGAACUGAGACACGGUCCAGGCUCCUACGGGAGGCAGCAGUGGGGGAAUAUUGGACAAUGGGCGCAAGCCUGAUCCAGCCAUGCCGCGUGGGUGAAGAAGGCC